GACGAACGCUGGCGGCGUGCCUAAUACAUGCAAGUAGAACGCACAGUUUAUACCGUAGCUUGCUACACCAUAGACUGUGAGUUGCGAACGGGUGAGUAACGCGUAGGUAACCUGCCUGGUAGCGGGGGAUAACUAUUGGAAACGAUAGCUAAUACCGCAUAAUAUUAAUUAUUGCAUGAUAAUUAAUUGAAAGGUGCAAUUGCACCACUACCAGAUGGACCUGCGUUGUAUUAGCUAGUAGGUGAGGUAACGGCUCACCUAGGCGACGAUACAUAGCCGACCUGGGCGGGUGAUCGGCCAAACUGGGACUGAGACACGGCCCAGACUCCUACGGGAGGCAGCAGUAGGGAAUCUUCGGCAAUGGACGAAAGUCUGACCGAGCAACGCCGCGUGAGUGAAGAAGGUUUUCGGAUCGUAAAGCUCUGUUGUAAGAGGAGAACGGGUGUGAGAGUGGAAAGUUCACACUGUGACGGUAUCUUACCAGAAAGAGACGGCUAACUACGUG
rnacentral:rRNA from 1 species